UACGUAGGGUGCAAGCGUUGUCCGGAAUUAUUGGGCGUAAAGGGCUCGUAGGCGGUCCGUCACGUCGGGAGUGAAAACUUGGGGCUUAACCCCAAGCCUGCUUCCGAUACGGGCGGACUAGAGGUAGGCAGGGGAGAACGGAAUUCCUGGUGUGAGCGGUGAAAUGCGCAGAUAUCAGGAGGAACACCGGUGGCGAAGGCGGGUUCUCUGGGCCGUUACCUGACGCUGAGGAGCGAAAGCGUGGGGAGCAAACAGG
rnacentral:rRNA from 1 species